AGUGAACGCUGGCGGUAGGCCUAACACAUGCAAGUCGAACGCAGCAAAGUAAAAGCUUGCCCUUACGGGUUGCCAGUGGCCGGCUGGGUAAGAAAUCCUUGGAAUCCACUUUUUCCUGGGGGAUAAAGGUGGGAAACUUACGCCUAUAACCCAACAUGCCUAACGGGGAAAACCAGGGAUUCUCGGGCCUUUUGCCGUUUGAUGAAGCGGUGUCGGAUUAGCUAGUUGGCGGGGUAAAGGCCCACCAAGGCGACGAUCCGUAGCUGGUCUGAGAGGAUGAUCAGCCACACUGGAACUGAGACACGGUCCAGACUCCUACGGGAGGCAGCAGUGGGGAAUAUUGGACAAUGGGCGCAAGCCUGAUCCAGCCAUACCGCGUGGGUGAAGAAGGCCUUCGGGUUGUAAAGCCCUUUUGUUGGGAAAGAAAAGCAGCAGGUUAAUACCCCGCUGUUCUGACGGUACCCAAAGAAUAAGCACCGGCUAACUUCGUG
rnacentral:rRNA from 1 species